rnacentral:rRNA from 1 species
GACGAACGCUGGCGGCGUGCCUAAUACAUGCAAGUAGGACGCAGUUGCGAACGGGUGAGUAACGCGUAGGUAACUGCCUAUUAGAGGGGGAUAACUAUUGGAAACGAUAGCUAAUACCGCAUACUAGUAGAUGGAUCUGCGUUCUAUUAGCUAGUAGGUAGGGUAAUGGCCUACCUAGGCGACGAUACAUAACCGAACUGGGAAGGUGAACGGCCCAACGGGGAAUGGAACACGGCCCAGACUCCUACGGGAGGCAGCAGGAGGGAAACUUCGGAAAAUGGGGGAACGCUGACCGAGCAAAGCCGCGGGAGUGAAGAAGGUUUUCGGAUCGGAAAGCUCUGUUGUUAAGGAAGCGGUACUUAACCAGAAAGGGACGGCUAACUACGUGCCAGCAGCCGCGGUAAUAC